rnacentral:tmRNA from 1 species
GGGGGCGACUUGGUAUCGACGGAGAUGCUGAACCCUAUGGGGCAUGUCGGGUUGUUGGCCCCGUAAAAAGCUGGCACUUGCAUAUAAUUGCAAACGACGACGUAGAACUAGCUUACGCUGCGUAAGUUACCCCGCUCUUGAGGUGUCCAUCCAUUGAGAAUCCGGGGCCAUUUAGAUG